GCGCCCGUAGCUCAACGGACAGAGCGCUUGGCUUCGGACCAAGAGGUUGGGGGUUCGAAUCCCUUCGGGCGUG
rnacentral:tRNA from 1 species